rnacentral:rRNA from 1 species
UACGUAGGGUGCAAGCGUUAAUCGGAAUUACUGGGCGUAAAGCGUGCGCGGGCGGUUUUGUAAGUCUGACGUGAAAUCCCCGGGCUCAACCUGGGAAUUGCGUUGGAGACUGCAAGGCUAGAAUCUGGCAGAGGGGGGUAGAAUUCCACGUGUAGCAGUGAAAUGCGUAGAGAUGUGGAGGAACACCGAUGGCGAAGGCAGCCCCCUGGGUCAAGAUUGACGCUCAUGCACGAAAGCGUGGGGAGCAAACAGG